rnacentral:rRNA from 1 species
GAUGAACGCUAGCGGCAGGCUUAAUACAUGCAAGUCGUGGGGCAGCAUGAAUGUAGCAAUACAUUUGAUGGCGACCGGCAAACGGGUGCGGAACACGUACACAACCUUCCUAUAAGUGGGGAAUAGCCCAGAGAGAUUUGGAUUAAUACCCCGUAACAUAACGAUGUGGCAUCACAUUGUUAUUAUAGCUUCGGCGCUUAUUGAUGGGUGUGCGGCUGAUUAGAUAGUUGGCGGGGUAACGGCGCACCAAGUCUACGAUCAGUAGCUGAUGUGAGAGCAUGAUCAGCCACACGGGCACUGAGACACGGGCCCGACUCCUACGGGAGGCAGCAGUAAGGAAUAUUGGUCAAUGGACGCAAGUCUGAACCAGCCAUGCCGCGUGAAGGAUUAAGGUCCUCUGGAUUGUAAACUUCUUUUAUCUGGGACGAAAAAAGGCUUUUCUAAGUCACUUGACGGUACCAGAUGAAUAAGCACCGGCUAACUCCGUGCCAGCAGCCGCGGUAACAC